AGGACGAACGCUGGCGGCAUGCUUCAUACAUGCAAGUCGAACGAUAAGGUCUCUUCGGAGAUACAUAAGUGGCGGACGGGUGAGUAAUAUGUAGGAAAUCUGCCCUAGAGAGGGGGACAACAGAGGGAAACUUCUGCUAAUACCCCAUAUGAGCAUACCUGAAAUGGUAUUCUUGAAAACUCCGGUGCUCUAGGAUGAGCCUGCAUCUGAUUAGCUAGUUGGCGGUGUAAUGGACCACCAAGGCGACGAUCAGUAGCUGGUUUGAGAGGAUGAUCAGCCACAAUGGGACUGAGACACGGCCCAUACUCCUACGGGAGGCAGCAGUAGGGAAUUUUGCGCAAUGGGCGAAAGCCUGACGCAGCAAUGCCGCGUGAACGUAGAAGCCCUUCGGGGUGUAAAGUUCUGUCAGUGGGGACGAAUUUUGACGGUACCCACAGAGGAAGCACCGGCUAACUCCGUGCCAGCCGCCGC
rnacentral:rRNA from 1 species